UCCGAAGCGCUAACCAGUAGGCCACGGCUGCCCCUUAAAUGCUAUGUGGGAUGUCUCAGCUUUUUUACACUUAUGCAAUUCUACUUUUGUUAUUUUUGAGUUAUUUCACACUACUUGGGCUAGUAGAAUACUCUAAAAGCUACCUUGGAUGUUGAUAUUUUAUGAAGCCAUGAAAAAGUUUUUAUAUAGGUCAUCAUAUGCUGAUGAUCCAAACACACAUGAUCAAAUAGUUAGGCCUACUUAAACUGUCUGGUAAAGUUGUCAAUCAAAUUACCAUAUCAACUCUUUACUAUGUUUGGGUAAAUGCAAAACUAUCUCUAGGCUAAAUAAUUUCCCAUUAAAAAUAAAACCAUGCUGUCAUGAUAUAUGACACAUGCAUAAGCAUGCAACAUGCUAUCUGACAUAUGGGGGGAUUUGGUGACUAUUGCAUUGUACAUUGGCUGGGCAUGUAUACAAUAUAUGUAAACUUUUUACAUUGUUUGUCUUUUUUUUUGCUGGAAUCAUUUUGAUUUUCCUUGUUGUGCCCCGCGCUUCAAAGAACUCAUCAAGUAAGAUAGCCAGCUUGUUGAGGACCCCCUGAACACUAUCAACUUUACUGUCUAUGAGGGAUUUAUGCGCCAAGUGAGGGUGACGAUUGCCAUUUCUUCAAAACUGCGGGUGUUACAGUAUAUGCCCCGUAUCGGUGACCGUGAUUUGUUCAAGUAAGAGUUGUUCCUGGACCAACAUUCUAAAGACGGUCCUGGACCAACAACUCUUCAACCAAUCACAGCCUUGUGAUGUCAUCAAUGCCCAUUAUAGGGAAGUUUUUCCCUGUACAUCACAGGGAAGUUGGUCAAGGUCCAUCACAGUGAAGCUGGUCCAGGCCCAUCACAGAGAAGUUGCUUCAUGUCCAUCACAGGGGAAUUGGUCCAGGUCCAUCAUAAGGAAGUUGACCCAGGUCCAUCACAGUGAAGCUGGUCCAGGUCCAUCACAGGGAUGUUGGUCCAGGCUCAUCCUAAAAAAAUUUGUCCAGGUCCAUCACAGGGAAGCUGGCCCAGGUCCAUCAUAAGAAAUACCAGUCUGCACACACUCUGCUUUGGUCUGGACCCAUAUGGAUGGUCAAGCGAUACAUCACUGUUUCAAUUUAAUUUUCUCCUCAUUAAUCUGUAAAUACUAUAAUUAAAGGGGGUGGGACGGCAGUUUAAGAAAUAUUUUUAGUGGGGAAUUUACUUUUACCAUGUUAAGCUAUGGAGACUGACUGAGUGUGGGUCG